UGGGUCUUGACUUUUUAUCCAGCUUGCCAGUCUAUGUCUUUUGAUUGGGGCAUUUAGACGACUUACAUUGAACGUUAAUAUUGUUAUGUGUGAAUUUGAUCCUGCCAUUUUGUUACAGGCUUGCUUUUUUGCCCGUUAGUUGAUGUAUAUUCUUCAUUAUGUUAA